AGCAACAUGAUUGAAGAUAUGUGUGAGGAGAGCUUUAGCACAAAGCAAACCGUCAUACUGACUCUCAAUCUUGACAGCAAUCGGGAACUUACUCUUUACUGAGAUUUCAGACGAAGAAAUAGGCUCAAAAAUGUUGUAAUUCCUCCUGGAUCACAAAACUAAAGUAAACCUCUAACAUCACAGAAGAGUGGCCACUGGCUAAUCACACAGGAUGGAAGGGAACCCACAGACAAGAAAGACCUGUGAACGGGGAGGACCCGAGGACGAGAAAGACCCAUGGACAAGCAGGACCACCUAACACUUGACUCCGGGCUGCUGUCCAUCUCCACCAUCAGCAGCUCUGUGUUCCUAGCAUCCAAUUCAACAUAUAAAACUCUGAAUCCCACUUCUAAAAACUGUCAGUAGAGAUAAGAUUCAGGAGAUUUUUAUGGCAAUUAAAUUACAGCACCUCACA